UACGUAGGGGGCAAGCGUUGUCCGGAUUUAUUGGGCGUAAAGAGCGUGUAGGCGGCCGCACAGGUCCGUUGUGAAAACUGGAGGCUUAACCUUCAGACGUCGAUGGAAACCGUGCGGCUAGAGUCCGGAAGAGGAGAGUGGAAUUACCGGUGUAGCGGUGAAAUGCGUAGAUAUCGGUAGGAACACCAGUGGCGAAGGCGGUCUCCUGGGGCAUUCGUUGACGCUGAGGCGGCGAAAGCUGGGGGAGCAAACGGGG
rnacentral:rRNA from 1 species